UCUCUCUGCUUUCCGGGUAGCAAAGGCGGUUUUCUGUUGUCGUCUGCCUUCUUUCGUCUCGAAGGUGCGACGCGCAGCUCGCACGGAGGUUUUCGGGAAUGAGCCGUAUCAGCGUAACGCGGGUUGAUGGCGUUGCUUUGUAGACGUCACAGAAUCGCAGAAGUGUAGGGGUCGGAAGGGACCGCUGGAGAUGAUGGAGUCGCACCCGCCGCUCCAGCAGGUUCCUUUCUGUGGCCCUCCUCCGGACACACACCAGGAAGUCCGUGUCUCUCCUGUGCUGAGGACUGGAUAUGGUGAGAUCUGGAUACGGUGCUCCAGGCCGCGUGCUGUACAAGAGGCGCUGCCACCUCCUGGCUGAGCUCUUCAGGCAGAAGUGCAGAGCACGUAUCACCUGCCAUCCCCCUGCUAGCUCAGGAGAUGCAGUUUGGAUUCAGUCGGUGCACCCUGGAUUCCUCUUGGUAGCUUGCAGAGGUUAGCUGAUCCCUGUAUGGAAGAUGCGUGGUUCCUUCA